GACGAACGUUGGCGGCGUGCUUAACACAUGCAAGUCGAACGGAAAGGCCCUGCUUUUGUGGGGUGCUCGAGUGGCGAACGGGUGAGUAACACGUGAGUAACCUGCCCUUGACUUUGGGAUAACUUCAGGAAACUGGGGCUAAUACCGGAUAGGAGCUCCUGCUGCAUGGUGGGGGUUGGAAAGUUUCGGCGGUUGGGGAUGGACUCGCGGCUUAUCAGCUUGUUGGUGGGGUAGUGGCUUACCAAGGCUUUGACGGGUAGCCGGCCUGAGAGGGUGACCGGCCACAUUGGGACUGAGAUACGGCCCAGACUCCUACGGGAGGCAGCAGUGGGGAAUAUUGCACAAUGGGCGGAAGCCUGAUGCAGCAACGCCGCGUGCGGGAUGACGGCCUUCGGGUUGUAAACCGCUUUCGCCUGUGACGAAGCGUGAGUGACGGUAAUGGGUAAAGAAGCACCGGCUAACUACGUGCCAGCAGCCGCGGUGAUACGUAGGGUGCGAGCGUUGUCCGGAUUUAUUGGGCGUAAAGGGCUCGUAGGUGGUUGAUCGCGUCGGAAGUGUAAUCUUGGGGCUUAACCCUGAGCGUGCUUUCGAUACGGGUUGACUUGAGGAAGGUAGGGGAGAAUGGAAUUCCUGGUGGAGCGGUGGAAUGCGCAGAUAUCAGGAGGAACACCAGUGGCGAAGGCGGUUCUCUGGGCCUUUCCUGACGCUGAGGAGCGAAAGCGUGGGGAGCGAACAGGCUUAGAUACCCUGGUAGUCCACGCUGUAAACGGUGGGUACUAGGUGUGGGGUCCAUUCCACGGGUUCCGUGCCGUAGCUAACGCUUUAAGUACCCCGCCUGGGGAGUACGGCCGCAAGGCUAAAACUCAAAGGAAUUGACGGGGCCCCGCACAAGCGGCGGAGCAUGCGGAUUAAUUCGAUGCAACGCGUAGAACCUUACCUGGGUUUGACAUGGAUCGGGAGUGCUCAGAGAUGGGUGUGCCUCUUUUGGGGUCGGUUCACAGGUGGUGCAUGGCUGUCGUCAGCUCGUGUCGUGAGAUGUUGGGUUAAGUCCCGCAACGAGCGCAACCCUUGUUCACUGUUGCCAGCACGUUAUGGUGGGGACUCAGUGGAGACCGCCGGGGUCAACUCGGAGGAAGGUGGGGAUGACGUCAAGUCAUCAUACCCCUUAUGUCCAGGGCUUCACGCAUGCUACAAUGGCUGGUACAGAGAGUGGCGAGCCUGUGAGGGUGAGCGAAUCUCGGAAAGCCGGUCUCAGUUCGGAUUGGGGUCUGCAACUCGACCUCAUGAAGUCGGAGUCGCUAGUAAUCGCAGAUCAGCAACGCUGCGGUGAAUACGUUCCCGGG
rnacentral:rRNA from 1 species